UUAACAGAAAGGGCCCUGGAACACGUCGAACAGGUGAACAGUGAAAGGUUGAAAGAGGAGACAAACAUAAAGAAAGAGUUUGUGUGUGUGUGUGUGUGUGUGUGUGUGUUUUUG